rnacentral:rRNA from 1 species
UGCCAGCAGCAGCGGUAAUACGGAGGGUGCAAGCGUUAAUCGGAAUUACUGGGCGUAAAGCGCGCGUAGGCGGUUUGAUAUGUUGGAUGUGAAAGCCCAGGGCUCAACCUUGGAACUGCAUUCAAAACUGUCAGGCUAGAGUACGGUAGAGGGGGGUAGAAUUCCACGUGUAGCGGUGAAAUGCGUAGAGAUGUGGAGGAAUACCAGUGGCGAAGGCGGACCCCUGGAUCGAUGCUGACGCUGAGGUGCGCAAGCGUUGGGCGCAAACAGGAUUAGAUA